rnacentral:lncRNA from 1 species
GUUCAGAAGUGUAGCAAGGGAAGGUAGAAGUUGCAAGAAUGAUUGGCAGUUCUUAAGAUUUAGAAUCUUUCAUGAGCUGGUUGGGACAGAGUUCCAAGGAGCAGUUUCCAACUGACUCAGUCUGGAUCUGAAAGGGAAGAAGGAAGGUAUGUAGCUGAGACUCCCUGAACAAACCACCUAUCAAGCAACUGGACAUUGAGGAUCAACUGUCUGAGGUUCUAUGAUCAGUAGAUCUCUGAGGAUUGAAAUAGAAACAACCAGGCAGAAGAGGAAUGAAUGAAAGUAGAGGAUACAUUGAAAACAGCAAAAAAAAAAAUAGCAGUUGACAUCAGCUGAGUCUGCUGCUGAAAGAAAAGGAGGCUUCAUGGAAGAUUUAUAUGCACCAGCCAUUUCUGAAACCAAUAGGCACCUUUGUUUGAUAUGUUUAAAGAAGUUCUAAAUAGAAAAGUCAUAUGGCUUACCUAGAGGAACUCCAAGGAAAGUAGAGUCAAAGGUUCAGCCACAAGGUGUCUGAGACAAAGCAAAGAACUUCUAGGAUUAUUUGUUUCCUGGUACCUGUGAAGAUUGGAUUUAGCUAUCUCCUGAUUAUAACAAUGAAGAUACUUAGUUCUUUCUUUAUCAUGAAGAUAAAAUUGUAAUCUCCUGAUUGGAACAAUGAAGGUACUUCUUCCUUCCUGAAGCUAGAAUUGUAAGUUACAAUCUAUUUUUAGAUUUUAACUACAAAAAGAUAUUACAAAAGGUGAAUUUAAACAAAGAGGUGUUUAGUAACCCAAAAGAUAAAAUCUAACCAAAGAAGGUGAGAA